AAGCUCGUAGUUGAAUUUCGGGGUUAGUAGGUUGGUCAUGCCUCUGGUAUGUACUGGUCUCACUGAUUCCUCCUUCCUUAUGGACCGUAAUGCCAUUAAUUUGGUGUUGCGGGGAAUUUGGACUGUUACUUUGAAAAAAUUAGAGUGUUUAAAGCAAGCUAACGCUUGAAUACAUUAGCAUGGAAUAAUGAAAUAGGACGUUCGAUCUUAUUUUGUUUGGUUUUCUAGGAUUGACGUAAUGAUUAAUAGGAUAGUUGGG
rnacentral:rRNA from 1 species